rnacentral:rRNA from 1 species
GAGUUGUAAUUUGCAGAGGAUGUUAUGGAAUCUGUAUGGACUCAAGUCCUUUGGAAAAAGGCGCCAUGGAGAGUGACAGUCUCGUACUUUCCAAUACAUUUUCCAUGUAUAACUCCUUCAAAGAGUCGAGUUGUUUGGGAAUGCAGCUCUAAGUGGGACGUAAAUUUGUUCCAAAGCUAAAUACCUGCUAGAGACCGAUAGCGCACAAGUAGAGUGAUCGAAAGAUGAAAAGCACUUUGAAAAGAGAGUUAAAAAGCACGUGAAAUUGUUGAAAGGGAAGCUUAUGUCAUCAGAAAUGGAGUCGUUGUUCAGCCUUUUGGUGUAUUCAAUGACUACCAGGCUAGCAUCAGUUUGAAUAGCUGGAUAAAAGCGUUGGAAAUGUGGCUCCCCCGAGAGUGUUAUAGUUCGAUGCACAAUGCAGUUCAUUCAGACUGAGGACCGCUUUAAGGAUGC